rnacentral:rRNA from 1 species
AGUGAACGCUGGCGGUAGGCCUAACACAUGCAAGUCGAACGGCAGCACAGUAAGAGCUUGCUCUUACGGGUGGCGAGUGGCGGACGGGUGAGGAAUACAUCGGAAUCUACUUUUUCGUGGGGGUUAACGUAGGGAAACUUACUCUAAUACCGCAUACCACCUACGGUUGAAAGCAGGGGAUCUUCGGACCUUGCGCGUUUGACUGAGCCGAUGUCGGAUUAGCUAGUUGGCGGGGUAAAGGCCCACCAAGGCGACGAUCCGUAGCUGGUCUGAGAGGAUGAUCAGCCACACUGGAACUGAGACACGGUCCAGACUCCUACGGGAGGCAGCAGUGGGGAAUAUUGGACAAAGGGCGCAAGCCUGAUCCAGCCAUACCGCGUGGGUGAAGAAGGCCUUCGGGUUGUAAAGCCCUUUUGUUGGGAAAGAAAAGCAGCAGGUUAAUACCCCGCUGUUCUGACGGUACCCAAAGAAUAAGCACCGGCUAACUUCGUG